GUUCGCGUGAAUUCAAAUCGUAAGACAUGAAAAUAAAAAUUUAUUGAUUGAGUAUUAAAAUAAAAUAUGAACAUGUAAAAGAGAUUGAUUCAAAUGACAAGAAGAAAACAAUGGAUGAAUGGAGUUGUUGGGGGUUUACAAAUUUAUCUUAUCCGCUCUCUCUUAUUUACUCCUNUUGAAUUAUUAGCUUGAUUAAUUAUUUGUCAUGCAACUUUCUUAGCCUACCCUUAACCCGAUCCCUCGGUGAAAAGAGCCUAAUACUAAUUACUG
rnacentral:lncRNA from 1 species